CCAUUUCAAUGCUGCAAGCAUCCUCCGUGACCUUCCCUCUCCCUUCCCAGCACACGCUGACACAUCCAGCCUAAAUUUGCGUCUCGCAUCACCUCAGGAUACUCAUGGCUAAUUUCAUUAUUUUGGAGAGAAAAUGCAAAUGAAGCCAGACAGCUGGUGCUUUCCUCGUGGCGAGGAGUGAUGGAGGGGCCCGAGGCCUACCUCAUCAGAGGCUCUCAUACCCGUCUGCUCAGACAGGCCCUGGCGGGAGGAGAGUGGGGAGGCUGCAGGAGCAGCGGGAACAGAUGGCAGGGAAGAGUCCUUCCCCACUCAGGCUGCAAGUUUCCAAGCUCCUUCCCAAAACAAGUUGAUCUGACGAUCUAUCCACAGAAACUCAAUCAAAUGUGAUUGAGUUAUAAACCAGCAAGUUCAACACACAGAAUUGAAGAGUGAAAAAUUACUCACAGUUUGAACUGGGAAAAGUGUUGAAGAGGAACUUGUCAUAGGAUGAUCUGAAUUCAAAAGAAAUACUUGUUCGUGGAGUGCCAGGACAGACUACCAGCUUGUCUUCAAAAUAUAGCCUGGAUUGGUUUUUGAAUAAGAUAUGAUCCUCUUUAUUAUCUGAUAUGUUUUUAUCAAGUUGCUCUCAGUUUAUUUGUAGGAAAAUGUAUACGUUGCACUUUUUUUUUCCAUUGCAGUUUCUCUGUAUGUUCUUCAUCCACAAGCAUAAUUACUUGAAAGUCAUCAGAAAAGUUGUGUAUAUAUAUAUAUGUAAAACACCCCAAGGGCACCAGAAGAAAAGAAAAAAAUUGAGUUUAGAGUAAUUGGUAAGAUGCAUUUGCAGAUAAGAGAAGAAGGUGUAACAGCCUACCUACAGGCUUUGCUUUUCUCAGGGAGCUUUGAGUCUACUUGGACAGUGCACCAGACCAAACACAUGAGAAUUUGAGAGAGCUGACAACUCACAUUGUUUAGAGAAAGCACUAUGAGCAUUUUUGUAACAGAUUUUUGACUCGAUAUUUUUAGGGUGCAAAGGGCAAAUAUUUGAUCAGAUCAUGGUCUUCUGACCCUCUUAAUGGGUAUAGAGUAAUUAGAACUAAUUAUUUGGUAACUGUCAGAUUUUUGUCCACUGUAGCAUGAAGUCCUGUUAUGAUGAACAUGUGAUAACUGACAAAAAAUAAUCAUCUGCUAUCAAGCCUGAGGUUCCGCAGCUGCAAAAAAGAGCAGUCUCGUGAAAUGAGCAGUCCCAUAAAAUGUCAGUGAUGCUACUCACUGGAGAAAGAUUGCAGCGUCACAACCUUACACAGCCAUCUAAAGCAAUAAUGUGAUGCUAUAACAAAACAAAGUAGACAGUAUAGAUGGGAAUGACAACCCCAGUAUAAAUCCAAACCCUGACUUCCAAGCAUAAAACUGACUUUCUCAUUGA